ACAUAAAUCCAGCCUGUUAAUAAAGCAUGCAGUCAGAUUGUGGCAGCACAGUGAUCUGUGCACAAGCUGGAUAUGCAAACUGCCAGGAAUCAGAAUGCUUAUAGUCUAGGCCAAAUACCUGCCUUCACUUUCUCCUACAUGUAAAAGUUUUGAUUUACAAGCCAGGAAGAUUUGUGAAGCACAUAGAUAGCACAGGUGAACUUGGUUACAGCCAAGUAACAUACUCCUUUGCAAAAGUGUUCUUACACCAACAUCUUGCCAGCAUGUGGCCUGUACUAGAAAUAAAAUAGUAAGUCCUAAUCUUGAUUUGAAAUUGUCAGGGUUUGAGUCUUACCACAUUUAUCUUGACUUUCAGCAGGGUAUUCUAAAGAUAUGUGUAGUGUAUGCAGCCAGUUGUGGUGUGACUCUACUGCUGUAAAAAAUCAUUUUCUCCUAACCUUUCCCUGUCCUGUGUAUUUUUAUGACAAAGUGCAAGGAUUUACAGCCUUCAGUGGGAAGAAAAGUAACUGCCACAUUAACUGAGUUCUCAUAAAUCAUUUAUUUCUGCUGAUCUUCGAAAGCUGUGACCAAGCUCAUCAGAGAACUGCUGAGAAGAGGAAAUGUCUGUAUAUCAGCAUCACUUGCAGAUGAGGGGAAAUAACUUCUAAAACCAAUUACUGGAGAUUUGUUCCCCUUGAAAAUGAAGACACCCAGCAGUCACAAUACUCACCUGAGGAGAUACUUAAAGAAAAAUCUGAAUCAAACCUAGCAAAAUUGACAGAGAGGUCAUUCAUGGAGAAUAAACAUGAACAUUCUCAUAGAUGUUUCCAUUAUCAACAAAAUAAGAAGUUUUUGUGUACCUAAUAAUUCAUCUGGGGAAUUCAGUAACCAAGGACAGCCAAAAACAGUGGUGUAUAUUUUGAUGAUCAGAGCUCUCCUGUUUGGCCAAGGGAGGUGUGUGUGGGGUGCACAUACACACGCAGGUAGGCUGCAUGCAGCCCACUGUGCACACGCAGCCCAUCAGCAGGGCACCACUGCCUCAGUGUUUCAGCAGGGCCAACAGUGACUGGUGUAUCUGCGAGAGCCUCUGGAGGCAGCAAGGUGUCCAAAUACUCCACGUGCCUGAAGUGUUCAGGCUGGGCUUUGUCAAGAUUCCCCAGUGGAUGAAGAGCCUGAUGUUGAUCUGGUCCUUCCUUUCCAAAGGUAAUGGCUUUCCUUUCCAUGCAUCUAGGAGUAG